GGGUGCGAUCAUACCAGCACUAAUGCACCGGAUCCCAUCAGAACUCCGAAGUUAAGCUUGCUUGGGCGAGAGUAGUACUAGGAUGGGAGACCUCUUGGGAAGUCCUCGUGUUGCACCCC
rnacentral:rRNA from 1 species